CCUACGGGUGGCUGCAGUGGGGAAUAUUGGACAAUGGGCGAAAGCCUGAUCCAGCCAUGCCGCGUGUGUGAAGAAGGCCUUCGGGUUGUAAAGCACUUUCAGUGGGGAAGAAAGCCUUGGGGCUAAUACCCUCGAGGAAGGACAUCACCCACAGAAGAAGCACCGGCUAACUCCGUGCCAGCAGCCGCGGUAAUACGGAGGGGUGCGAGCGUUAAUCGGAAUUACUGGGCGUAAAGCGCGCGUAGGCGGUCUGAUAAGCCGGUUGUGAAAGCCCCGGGCUCAACCUGGGAACGGCAUCCGGAACUGUCAGGCUAGAGUGCAGGAGAGGAAGGUAGAAUUCCCGGUGUAGCGGUGAAAUGCGUAGAGAUCGGGAGGAAUACCAGUGGCGAAGGCGGCCUUCUGGACUGACACUGACGCUGAGGUGCGAAAGCGUGGGUAGCAAACAGGAUUAGAUACCCUUGUAGUC
rnacentral:rRNA from 1 species